CAAGAUGUUACAUGAUUUAGACAUGAUUAUAUAGAGUGUAUACACAAUGUAUAUUUAUUGUAUUUCUGGUAUACAAUAGCAUGGGCUGUGAUGAUUAUGUGUUAUUUGGGCGAUUUGUAUAUACCGAGCCCACUUCAUGUCUGAGCCCCAUUUCAUUUCCCUAUUUGGGUCCUUUGACCCGAUCCGUGUGUAUUUGUAUAUAUAAGGGUCCCCAGAUAUUUUGGGACCCCCGGACUUCAUUUUCCACUUUUCUAUUCUCGGUUUAAUAAACUCUCUGAGUUCCAGAGACUUCUCAAAUCCUCCUCCUUCUCUCUACUUUCUCUCUCUACAUCUAUUCUCGGUUUAAUAAACUCUCUAAGUUCCAGAGACUUCUCAAAUUCUCCUCCUUCUCUCUACUUUCUCUCUCUACAAUCUCCAUGAUUUCUCGGCUUAACUUCGAUGUUUUCAUGGUAGCAGAGCCUCGACGACGAUCCGAUCAUGUUUCUAUGUGCUUCGUGGUCUUGGAUGAAGUCUGUUUCGAGGUUUUUGGGGGUGAUUACUGAGACGUCACGGUAGAUGAAGAUUUCGACCUAUCGGAGACUUUUCUGAGUCUCUCAUCAUGAUAUCCGAGUGUAUUUUCUUCUUCUGAACGUUUUGGAAGAUUUUAUGAUGUUUUUUUGUUGGUUGAUUUUGGG
rnacentral:lncRNA from 1 species